GCUUGGGUGGUAUAGCGAUAGAUCACGCGUCCCUGGAUGGGAUGAAACGCGGGUUCGAUUUCCGCCUGAGGCG